GAUGAACGCUGGCGGCGUGCCUAAUACAUGCAAGUCGAGCGAACAGACGAGGAGCUUGCUCCUCUGACGUUAGCGGCGGACGGGUGAGUAACACGUGGAUAACCUACCUAUAAGACUGGGAUAACUUCGGGAAACCGGAGCUAAUACCGGAUAAUAUAUUGAACCGCAUGGUUCAAUAGUGAAAGACGGUUUUGCUGUCACUUAUAGAUGGAUCCGCGCCGCAUUAGCUAGUUGGUAAGGUAACGGCUUACCAAGGCGACGAUGCUUAGCCGACCUGAGAGGGUGAUCGGCCACACUGGAACUGAGACACGGUCCAGACUCCUACGGGAGGCAGCAGUAGGGAAUCUUCCGCAAUGGGCGAAAGCUUGACGGAGCAACGCCGCGUGAGUGAUGAAGGUCUUCGGAUCGUAACACUCUGUUAUUAGGGAAGAACAAAUGUGUAAGUAACUAUGCACGUCUUGACGGUACCUAAUCAGAAAGCCACGGCUAACUACGUG
rnacentral:rRNA from 1 species